rnacentral:snRNA from 1 species
UUGCCUUUACGGGUAUUUUGGUCAACUUUGAAACGAUACAGAGAAGAUUAGCAUGGCCCCUGCACUAAGGAUGACACGCUCAAUCAAAGAGAAGCUACCAAUUUUU